AAUCGGGUGGUUCUAGUCGGUGAGCCUGUGAAAACCGACCGAGUUCGUUGUGAUCUCACGAAAACAACAAGUUGGAUUGUGAACUUGUAAAACAACCGGCUGUAAUCCAAGGGAUUAUAGUGAACUCCCAAGUAAAGCUUGGGGAGUGGAUGUAGGAGCAAGGGUUAGCUCCGAACCACUAUAAAUUGGUUUGUGUUUGUAUUGGCUGCUGUUCUCUCUCUCUC
rnacentral:lncRNA from 1 species